GUGAGGAAUAUUGGUCAAUGGACGGAAGUCUGAACCAGCCAUGCCGCGUGCAGGAAUAAGGUCCUAUGGAUUGUAAACUGCUUUUAUUCGGGAAUAACCCUCUUUACGUGUAGGGAGCUGAAGGUACCGAAGGAAUAAGCACCGGCUAACUCCGUGCCAGCAGCGGCGGUAAUACGGAGGGUGCAAGCGUUAUCCGGAAUCAUUGCGGUUAAAGGGUCCGCAGGCGGGCUAUCAAGUCAGAGGUGAAAUCGCACAGCUUAACUGUGGAACUGCCUUUGAAACUGAUGGUCUUGAAUUAAGUGGGAGUUGGCGGAAUAUGACAUGUAGCGGUGAAAUGCAUAGAUAUGUCAUGGAACACCGAGAGCGAAGGCAGGUAACGAUACUUAUAUUGACGCUCAUGGACGAAAGCGUGGGUAGCGAACAGGAUUAGAAAACCUUGUAGUCC
rnacentral:rRNA from 1 species